rnacentral:rRNA from 1 species
AGCGAACGCUGGCGGCAGGCCUAACACAUGCAAGUCGAACGAAGUCUUCGGACUUAGUGGCGGACGGGUGAGUAACACGUGGGAACGUGCCUUUAGGUUCGGAAUAACUCAGGGAAACUUGUGCUAAUACCGAAUGUGCCCCUCGGGGGAAGGAUUUAUCGCCUUUAGAGCGGCCCGCGUCUGAUUAGCUAGUUGGUGAGGUAAAGGCUCACCAAGGCGACGAUCAGUAGCUGGUCUGAGAGGAUGAUCAGCCACGUUGGGACUGAGACACGGCCCAAACUCCUACGGGAGGCAGCAGUGGGGAAUCUUGCGCAAUGGGCGAAAGCCUGACGCAGCCAUGCCGCGUGAAUGAUGAAGGUCUUAGGAUUGUAAAAUUCUUUCACCGGGGACGAUAAUGACGGUACCCGGAGAAGAAGCCCCGGCUAACUUCGUGCCAGCCGCCGCAGUAACAC